rnacentral:rRNA from 1 species
AUGGCGGCGGCGGGUUGGCUCCGGCGAGCGGCAUCGGCGGUGGCGUUGCCUCGCAUGCCGUCUGGACUCACCAUCAUGCCACCCCCUCCCCCCGCUCCUCUCCCCGAGGCACAGUCCCUCGUGCUCCCCAGCCUCGGCGCCGCCAUCGCCCCCGCGAUGGAACUCAUGGCCGUCCCCAAGAAGAAGAUCUCGAAAUAUAAGAGGGGUUUGAGAAAUGGGCCCAGAGCCCUGAAGCCUGUUCCAGUGAUUAUCCGUUGCAGGUGCUGCGGGCGAGUGAAGCUGCCGCACUUCUACUGCUGCAGCGGAGAAAAAGGGAACGCCGGUGACUCCAGCUCAUAA